rnacentral:ncRNA from 1 species
GUUUCGGGGCGGGGUGUAAUUCCCCACCGGCGGUAUAGCCCGCGAACACGUUUUCAGCGUGCCGAUCCGGUGUAAUUCCGGAGCCGACGGUUAAAGUCCGGAUGAAAGAAA